rnacentral:rRNA from 1 species
GAACGCUGGCGGCAGGCUUAACACGUGCAAGUCGAGCGGAAACGAAGGUAGCUUGCUACCAGACGUCGAGCGGCGGACGGGUGAGUAAUGCUUAGGAAUCUACCGAGUAGUGGGGGAUAGCCAUUGGAAACGAUGAUUAAUACCGCAUAUAUCCUACGGGGGAAAGCAGGGGACCUUCGGGCCUUGCGCUAUUCGAUGAGCCUGAGUGAGAUUAGCUAGUUGGUGGGGUAAAGGCCUACCAAGGCGACGAUCUCUAGCUGGUCUGAGAGGAUGAUCAGCCACACUGGGACUGAGACACGGCCCAGACUCCUACGGGAGGCAGCAGUGGGGAAUAUUGCACAAUGGACGAAAGUCUGAUGCAGCCAUGCCGCGUGUGUGAAGAAGGCCUUCGGGUUGUAAAGCACUUUCAGCGAGGAGGAAAGGUCAGUAAGUAAUAUUUGCUGGCUGUGACGUUACUCGCAGAAGAAGCACCGGCUAAUUUAGUGCCAGCAGCCGCGGUAAUACUAAAGGUGCAAGCGUUAAUCGGAAUUACUGGGCGUAAAGCGCGCGUAGGUGGUUUGUUAAGUUGGAUGUGAAAGCCCAGGGCUCAACCUUGGAACUGCAUUCAAAACUGACUCACUAGAGUACGAGAGAGGUUAGUGGAAUUUCCUGUGUAGCGGUGAAAUGC